ACCAAAUUAUUAAUGGAAAAUGUUUGUUUUUAGGACCUAUUAUUUAUUAAGCAACUGGAGUUCAGUGUCAGAGUGCUGUUUUUAUUGAAAGAACCCAAAGCUGUUAAGACUGCGGACUGACGAUUCAACCCAAAGCUGAUUUACCUGAAGAUUGCCCGAUCACAAUAUACAGGCUCCCCUCCCUGUUGUAAAUAACAUGGAAGAACACCACGACCCUAGGCUUGCUCCAGAAUAGAGAACCUGUAUUAAUCAACAGAACCUUAAAAUUGAAGUCUCCACUGUAGUGCCAUUCAGUACCUUAACAUGUGACAAUUUCAAAUCCUAUGAUGAGGUUCCAAGGGGUUGUAAAAUGGAAGAAAACACAGAACAGGCCAAGAAAAAAAUUAAGUAAUGCAGUCACUGUCAGGGAAAUAAAGCCAAAACUAUGUAGAAAUUUGAAAAAAUAAACACAAGAUUAUUGCUCGAGA